rnacentral:rRNA from 1 species
GAACGCUAGCUACAGGCUUAACACAUGCAAGUCGAGGGGCAGCAUUUCAGUUUGCUUGCAAACUGGAGAUGGCGACCGGCGCACGGGUGAGUAACACGUAUCCAACCUGCCGAUAACUCGGGGAUAGCCUUUCGAAAGAAAGAUUAAUACCCGAUGGUAUAAUCAGACCGCAUGGUCUUGUUAUUAAAGAAUUUCGGUUAUCGAUGGGGAUGCGUUCCAUUAGGCAGUUGGUGAGGUAACGGCUCACCAAACCUUCGAUGGAUAGGGGUUCUGAGAGGAAGGUCCCCCACAUUGGAACUGAGACACGGUCCAAACUCCUACGGGAGGCAGCAGUGAGGAAUAUUGGUCAAUGGGCGCAGGCCUGAACCAGCCAAGUAGCGUGAAGGAUGACUGCCCUAUGGGUUGUAAACUUCUUUUAUAUGGGAAUAAAGUUUUCCACGUGUGGAAUUUUGUAUGUACCAUAUGAAUAAGGAUCGGCUAACUCCGUGCCAGCAGCCGCGGUAAUACGGAGGAUCCGAGCGUUAUCCGGAUUUAUUGGGUUUAAAGGGAGCGUAGGUGGACAGUUAAGUCAGUUGUGAAAGUUUGCGGCUCAACCGUAAAAUUGCAGUUGAUACUGGCUGUCUUGAGUACAGUAGAGGUGGGCGGAAUUCGUGGUGUAGCGGUGAAAUGCUUAGAUAUCACGAAGAACUCCGAUUGCGAAGGCAGCUCACUGGACUGCAACUGACACUGAUGCUCGAAAGUGUGGGUAUCAAACAGGAUUAGAUACCCUGGUAGUCCACACAGUAAACGAUGAAUACUCGCUGUUUGCGAUAUACAGUAAGCGGCCAAGCGAAAGCAUUAAGUAUUCCACCUGGGGAGUACGCCGGCAACGGUGAAACUCAAAGGAAUUGACGGGGGCCCGCACAAGCGGAGGAACAUGUGGUUUAAUUCGAUGAUACGCGAGGAACCUUACCCGGGCUUAAAUUGCAUUUGAAUAUAUUGGAAACAGUAUAGCCGUAAGGCAAAUGUGAAGGUGCUGCAUGGUUGUCGUCAGCUCGUGCCGUGAGGUGUCGGCUUAAGUGCCAUAACGAGCGCAUCCCUUAUCUUUAGUUACUAACAGGUCAUGCUGAGGACUCUAGAGAGACUGCCGUCGUAAGAUGUGAGGAAGGUGGGGAUGACGUCAAAUCAGCACGGCCCUUACGUCCGGGGCUACACACGUGUUACAAUGGGGGGUACAGAAGGCAGCUACCUGGUGACAGGAUGCUAAUCCCAAAAGCCUCUCUCAGUUCGGAUCGAAGUCUGCAACCCGACUUCGUGAAGCUGGAUUCGCUAGUAAUCGCGCAUCAGCCAUGGCGCGGUGAAUACGUUCCCGGGCCUUGUACACACCGCCCGUCAAGCCAUGAAAGCCGGGGGUACAAGAAGUACGUAACCGCAAGGAGCGUCCUAGGGUAAAACU